CGCCGCGGUUAUACGAGAGGCCCAAGUCGACACAUCCCGGCGUAAAGGGUGGUUAAGAAAAGAAAAAAUAUUAGAGAAAAACGCUCUUCAGGCUGUUAUACGCAACAAGAGUAAGAAUCCUCCACGCGAAAGUAACUCUAUACCAAUCUGAACCCACGAAAACUUUGGUA
rnacentral:rRNA from 1 species